AUUUUAACUGAUAGAAAUUUGUAUUUAUUUAUUAAUUACCACUUGGUUCGUAGAUUGCGAAGUUUUAAGUUUCUAGCAUUUGCGUCUUGCUAUCGUCCGAUACAUAUGUGGUGAGCAGAAUUCUUUUGUAUAUGGACGAAUUUUUGUUCUAAUUGACAACUGUUAAUUCGUUGUUCCUCAUCCAUGCAGCAAGCAUGUCAUGAAUAUUUCCUUAUGACCAAUCAAACUACCCAGUUAGUGGGAAUGUAUUGGCUACCCGUGAACAUUUACUAGUUCUGGCCAAAUGAGAAUUGAUUCGGAUAUAACCAAGCUGUAAAUUCACGACCUUUGUCAUUUUGCCGUAUAUGUGGCAUGCCAAAUUCUGUGAACACAUUAAUUAAGAAGCCACCUUUGAAGCUCUUUUUGACGUAAGAGCUCUAAGGAUUUAAUAUUGUGUUAUUUGAUCUUGGUACACCAUAAGACACUAUAGUCCAUUAAAUCAACCUAACCUCUUCUGCAUAAGUCUUUAGAUAAAAUGCGCUUUUUAUCGUGUUACAAUUUAAUAAAAUGAAAACAAUACUUGUAGUACUAUGGAAUCAUGGAAAUUAUUUGCAUAGCUUUUAUUAUGUAAUAGGCCCAAUAUGACCUAUUUCUGUAGGCGUUUUCCAAAAUUACCAUACAGUUUUAAAGCACUUUUCAUAUUGAAGGGGGUUGGGAUGACCCCAAGGGACUCACCUUAUACUUUAUUUGAUUUGUUUAAUUGUCCUGUACUUAUUACUGAAGACCGUGUGUGUCUAUCACUUACUAUUUUUGACAAAAAGUCAUUUGAAAAUUUCAAAAUUAAACCCCAUAGGGUUCUACAAUAAACCUAUCUUGAGGAUUAUUCACUUUUGGUAGUGGAAGAAAAUAACGUCUUGCUAGUUCAGAUGCUUUAUGAUCGUAAGAUAAAUACGUAACAAUAACGUUACGUUACAUUAACAAUAGUGUGUGCGAAAGUACGGGAAACAAUUACAUAAGAUAACGAUCUAAAGUCUCUUGGCCUAUUCACGACAUUCAGGGGGCCUCAAAAUGCAUAAGAAAUAAAAUUAUUUUAAACGAUAAAUAAUCAAAACUUUAAAGUUCUAUAAAUAGAUCACAUUGAAAGUGUUUUUUUUUUUUUUCUCUUGUAAUUUCACUUUACGUUAACUGUCCUUCACAAAAAUCCUUUAACAGUUACUAUAGUUCUAACGGAUAUAACUUCACAAUUGGUAGUGUGGUAACUAGUCUCCUUUAAGUCCGUACUUUUUCUGCUCGAAUAAGUCAAUCUCCUCCUUUAAUGACGUCUUCUAUUGUUCCUAAUCUCCAUAAAAGUCGUGGCGAUUCACUUCCUAGUUGAACUACAUCACCGAUGUUAACUUGUCCAGUAUGUUUUCCAGAGGCUCGAUGAUAUUCACGUAAUCCGGUAAGAUAUAUUUAUUAGACCAGCGUUUUGCGAAAUGGUCUAAUAAGAGUCCUUUUCUCUCAAAUAGUUUGUUUGCUGUGAUCGUAUCAAGUUCUUGAAUAUUCGCGUUGUGUUUGUCGUUGUGCAUCUCUGUGGUCGUAAUAAUCCUUCCGUGUAAAAGAUGAGAUGUAUCCUUGAUGUGAAGAGGUCCGGUAAAAUCUAUCCCAGAUGUGCAAAAUGGUAUGGUGUCUUUAACUCGAUCCUUUGGUAGUGGUGGUGGUUCCCAAGGUAGUUUUGCGACAUAUUUAUUAUCCUUAAAAGUUAUGCUUGAGUUUUG
rnacentral:lncRNA from 1 species